AGCGGAGGAAAAGAAACCAACCGGGAUUGCCUUAGUAACGGCGAGUGAAGCGGCAAAAGCUCAAAUUUGAAAUCUGGUACCUUCGGUGCCCGAGUUGUAAUUUGGAGAGGGCAACUUUGGGGCCGUUCCUUGUCUAUGUUCCUUGGAACAGGACGUCAUAGAGGGUGAGAAUCCCGUGUGGCGAGGAGUGCGGUUCUUUGUAAAGUGCCUUCGAAGAGUCGAGUUGUUUGGGAAUGCAGCUCUAAGUGGGUGGUAAAUUCCAUCUAAAGCUAAAUAUUGGCGAGAGACCGAUAGCGAACAAGUACAGUGAUGGAAAGAUGAAAAGAACUUUGAAAAGAGAGUGAAAAAGUACGUGAAAUUGUUGAAAGGGAAGGGCAUUUGAUCAGACAUGGUGUUUUGUGCCCUCUGCUCCUUGUGGGUAGGGGAAUCUCGCAUUUCACUGGGCCAGCAUCAGUUUUGGUGGCAGGAUAAAUCCAUAGGAAUGUAGCUUGCCUCGGUAAGUAUUAUAGCCUGUGGGAAUACUGCCAGCUGGGACUGAGGACUGCGACGUAAGUCAAGGAUGCUGG
rnacentral:rRNA from 1 species